rnacentral:misc_RNA from 1 species
AUCCCAUAAACCGUGGCUCAGUUCAGAUCGUAGGCUGCAACUCGCCUACGUGAAGUAGGAAUCGCUAGUAAUCGCAGGUCAGCAUACUGCGGUGAAUACGUUCCCGGGCCUUGUACACACCGCCCGUCACACCAUGGAAGUUGGCCAUGCCCGAAGUCGUUACUCCAACCCUUGUGGAGGAGGACGCCGAAGGUGGGGCUAAUGACUGGGGUGAAGUCGUAACAAGGUAGCCGUACCGGAAGGUGCGGCUGGAUCACCUCCUAACAGGGAGACAACAAAAUGUUUAAUAUUAUUAUUUUGUCACCUUAGGUCGAUCGGUAUCUCACGUUCUUAAUUUAUUAAGAAUUUCAUUUCCUAAGUUUUUCUAGGUCACACCCAUUAUUUUUCCUGGGCCAUUAGCUCAGGUGGUUAGAGCGCACCCCUGAUAAGGGUGAGGUCCCUGGUUCAAGUCCAGGAUGGCCCAUAUCUCUAUGUUGGGGGUAUAGCUCAGUUGGUAGAGCGCCUGCUUUGCAAGCAGGAUGUCAGCGGUUCGAGUCCGCUUACCUCCACUGAUUACCACCUUUCAUAAUCUGUAGAGAGGAAAUGUUUUGAGUUGUGAUCAAAGCCUGAAAGAAUCUAGCUUCCUAAUGAAAUCAUUAAGAUGCUGGACUCAUUGAAUUAAUUUCAUUGUUUUCAGAGAACCUUGACAACUGCAUAGAUUAUUUUUAAAGACAAUAAGCAUUUUUAAUGAUGCAGAUAUAUUAUUUGUGC